CCUGCUGCUGCGCACUGAUGCUCAUCGCAAAGUCUGCAGAGAGCAUGGACGACGCGGUCUUUUCUUCGACGGCCUAACAUUGUUGUACACUUUUUCGGCUGUUUUCGCAUUUUGCGGGUAUUUCCCCAAUUGAAGAAGAAGCAUUUUAAGUUUGUACAGACUACAAUUGCAGACGGUGACGUUACUAACUUCACAGCGGGCCGCUCUUCAGAACAUCUUGCCUUCGACGACAGGGAGAGUUGGUUGACCGCUGCCCUUGGUAACAGCCCACUCACUGCCAAGAUGUUCAUGGUUGCAGAGGACCAGGUUAUAGUCACCAAACAGCUUCCCAGCUUUACUAACGUGUUCCAGAUGAUGUUCUGCUCAUAUAACCUGCACAACAUUGACUAUCCAGUGGAACUUGCAGCUACACUGGAGUUCUGCCAGAGAUGCAUUUUCAAAAUCAACCCAGCUCAAGGGACCAAAGUCACACAAAGAGAAAAGGGACGCCAGUAUGCUGUCAAUCCAAGGGUGCUGAGCCUCAUUUCCAAAAUUGCCAAUUUUGAGUGGAGAGAGUAAAGAGUAAGAGCACACGCUCACCAAACAUACACAAUCAUCAGUCAAACAAUAAAUCAGUUCAUAUUUCAGUUCCA